rnacentral:rRNA from 1 species
AUUUUAUUUGUAGGUGAAGAAGCCUAUAUUAUAUUGAAAGACAACAAGACCCUAUCGAGCUUUAGAAAAAUUAAUAAAUUAAAAAUUAGUAUUAAAAUAUAAAUUUUGUUAUUAAGUUAUUUUAGUUGGGGCGACUGAGGAACAGAUAAAGCUUCCUAUAUAAUAUUAACACAUUCAAGUAUUGAUCCAAACAUUUUGAUUAAAGGAAUUAGUUACCGUAGGGAUAACAGCAUUAUCUUUUUUGAGAGUUCUAAUCGAAAAAAAGGUUUGUGACCUCGAUGUUGGACCAGAAUAUCCUAAAGAUGCAGCCGUCUUUAAGGGUUGGUCUGUUCGACCAUUAAAAUUCUACGUGAUCUGAGUUCAGACCGGCGUGAGCCAGGUCAGUUUCUAUCUUCAAUUUUCAUAGUGAGCUUAGUACGAAAGGACCAGUUUACUGUAAAUAAUUACUACGUCUGAUAAAAUAUAAAGCAUUAUUAAGUUAAUUAUAGUAAUAAUAUAAUUUAUAAUCAAAUUAGCAAAAUUUAAUGCAAUUGACUUAGGAUCAAUAGACAUAGGUGAAAUUCCUUUAUUUGAUAUAUAAAGGUGGCAGAUGAA